UGCCGUCAUUUUGGUUAGGAGAGCCCGUGUGCCGGGGGAGGAAUCUUGUUUCUGAAGGUGCUGGGGAAAGAAUGAAGUGGGACAUAGGAAGUUUUAAAUCUCAGUUUCAGAACCCUGAGGAUGCCAAGAAUGGAUGAGAAAACCGACUUCAUGUGGAGCGGAUGGGCCAUCUCCUCGGAACUCUUCAGAUCUCGCUGCCUUUCUCUGGAGUGCGGUUUGGAGCUGGGGCUGUGGGUACUGAUGGGGCUUAUGUGGCUUCAGCUGCAGAAGGUAGGGAGUGGGUGACACAGAGCAGGAAAUACGUGGUGUAUUCUGGCCCAAAUAUUCUGAUUGAGUUAAGAGGCAGAGAAGAAAUCCAGCCAAUAGAACACAUUGAAUCUCAUAUGAUAUGCAGCAGGAUGUUGAAAUGGAGCUUUUAAAAAUGUCAGUUUCAGCAGAGGCCCCCAAAGCCAAAAAUAAAGACGCUAUUUCUGGUUAAGGUCACAUUCACGGGUAUCCGGAGGUAAGGCUUCAAUGUAACUUUUUGGGGUACACAAUUCAACCCACAAGAGGGGUCUCCAAGAGGACCUUUGGAGACCUCAGUAUGUGUCCCCUGGAGAGUCAGGGCACGUGAGUAAGGAUCUAGUUCUUUAUAAGAGAAGUGUAAAGGGGAGAGGACGUGGCUGUUGCUGCCAGUCGGGGAGCAGGGAGGAGGGCGCUGACUGAUUUGGCGGUUCCUAAGUCAAUGGCGGGGCCAACAUGUGGGUUUGUAGGAACGAGAAGUGGAAUGCACUCAAAGGAAGCUGGCCUGGGGUCUUCUUAAAAGGCUCCCUCCCCAGGUGGGUCCUGGAGAUGUGACCUCCAAGAGAGAUUGAUCCACCGAAAAGGGCUGGAAAGUGUAGCCAGGACUUCUCUGCCCAGACCCACACUGGGAAUAUUUCUACAUGUAACCGUCUAUACCUUCAUUAAGCUAAACAUGCAUCCUGACUGAUGUCUCCAAUUCUAAUAUAUCACCAUGUGGCUCAUUCUGACGUUCUUGCUCACCUAUAAAUUCCUUCUCCAUCAGUGCCUGCUCGACCUUCAGCUAGUCGUUACUUAAUUAUUUAAUUGCAGUAUACAGGAUAGCAGCAUUGCAGCUAUUGAGCUGUUCACCCAAGGGAAGUAAUUUUAUCAACUAGAGAAUGGUGCUUGUAUGCAGUUCCUCUCUACCUUUUAUUUCCCAGGCUCCAUCCACUUCCAAAGUUACUUAGCGCAGCACCUUUCCCCAACACCCCUCAGUGAGAUUGUGUCAUACAUUUGUCAUCCAGCGAGAUCCUUUGUCGUAGUCUACCUUCCUUCCUGGGAUUUUUUUGACUUCCUAAAUGAAUUUUUUGAAAUGUGCAUGCAUUAAGUCUCAGUCUUUGUGCUGUAAUGUGUUUUGGACUUUAACAAUUGCACAGUGUCAUAUAGCCACCAUGAUAGUAUCAUGCCGAAUAGUCUCACCAUCCUAAAAUCCCCUGUACUCCACCUUUUCGAACCCACCUCUCCGCCCGAACCCUCGGUAACCACUAAUCUUUGAAUUGUCUCUACAUAUUUGCCUUUUCCAGAAUGUCAUAUAAUGGGAAUCAUAUAGUAUGUAGCCUUUCCAGCCUGGUUUCUUUCACUUGGCCAUAUGCAUUUACAUUUCUUUUAUGUCAUUUUGUGGCUCGAUAGCUCAUUUCUUUUCACGGCUGAAUAAUAUUCUAUCAUACGGAUAUGCCGAAGUUUGUUUAUCCAUUCGUGUUUUGAAACACAUCUUGGUUGCAUAGAACUUCUAUAAACAUUCAUUUACAGGCUUUUGUCUGGACACACAUUUUCAAAUCAGUUAGGUGAGUAGCUAGGAGUGUGAUUGCUGGAUCCUGUCGUGAGACUAUGUUUAGCUUUGUCAGAAACUGUCAAAUUGUCUUCCAAAGUCACUGCUCCAUUUUGCCUGCCCACCAACAAUGAAUGGGAAUUGCUGUUGCUCCACAUCCUCACCAGCACUUGGCGUUGUCUGUGUAUUGGAUUUUGACCAAUUUUUCUUUUUUUUUUUUUUAGAGAGGGAGUGAGAGAGUGUGGAGGAGGGGCAGAGAAAGAGGGGAAGAGAGAAUCUUAAGCAGGCUCCAUGCCCAUCACGGAGCCUGACACGGGGCUCAAUCUCACGACCCUGAGAUCAUGACCUGAACACAAAUCAAGAGUCAGACGUUGAACCGAGUAAGCCACCCAGGUGCCCCAGAUUUUGACCAUUUUAUUAAAUGUGUAGUGAUAUCUCAUUAUGAUAUUGUUUUAAUUUUCAAUUCCCUAAUUACCAGCGAUAUUGAGCAUCUUUUCCUAUGCUAUCACCGCAUCAGGAAUGAAAAACAUCAGUGUAGACAGAACGAAUUACCUCUGGACUGAAUAGGUCAUUUUUUCUUUAACUAGAAUAUGCUCAUCUGGAAUGUUCCAUCUGUACGUCUACUUUAGUGAAGUGUCUGUUCAGAUCUUUUGCACGUUUUCCAAUUGGAUUGUUUGCUUUGUUGAGUUUAAAAUUUCUUUAUACAUUUUGGGUUCAAGUUCUUUAUCAGAUAAUGUGUUUUGCAAAUAUUUUCUCCCAGCCUGUGGCUGGUCUUCUCAUUCUUUGAACAGUGUCUUUCCUAGAGCAAAUGUUUUUAAAUUUCAACAAAAUCUAACUUAACUUAUUUUUAUUUCAUGGAUUGUGCUUUUGGUAUUGUAUCGGAAGAAUCUUUGCCAAAUCAAAGGUCACAUACAUUUUAUUCUGUAUUUUCUCCUAUAAGUUUUGUAGUUUUGCAUCUUACAUUUAGGUCUAGGACCUAUUUUGAGUUAAUUUUUGUGAAAAACUAAAUAAAUAAAUAUAUUUUAAGAAUUUAAUUGUAAAUAAUCACUUGUUACAUUUAUCCAUAUUUGUACUACAUGUGACUAAUCAGGGUUAAUCUGUGACCUUUUUCUCCAUUACUCAGGUCACUCAAGAGUUUACAGCAUGCAUGUGCUUUGUUACUAUCAGCGUGCACUCUAAAGCGGUUGCAUUUUCCUUCUUAUCUACUGCAAACUGUGUUCUUUCUCAUUACCUCAGCUGGGGUGGACGUUCUUUCAGCACAAUUGCACUUCUUAAAUUAAAAUCAAUUCCCUUAGUCAAUAUCUCAUUAGUUGGGAUCCUUUAGUGAUAACUCUAGAGUUAGAGAACUGUUGGGAAGGAUUUAUAUGCUUUGAAAUAGACAUGUUCAGGUCAUGAACAUGGAACGAAUGCAUUCAGGUCAGAAGUAAGUUCUUCUGUCUGCACUGAUAUUUUUCUCUCCUGAUAACAGGGUUCUCUGCCCAGCUCCCUUCUUAACCUGGGAAUCUGCAUCCACCUGGCUCUUGGCUGUAGGCUGACCCUGUCACAGGCUUUUGGACAGUCCUGUGUCUAAUGAGGAAGAUACAGAAGGUCAGAAGCCCAUGAGUUAUCUAGUUAUUCUUGCUGCUGGUUGUCUUGCAGUCUUGAGGUUGGAUUGUCCAUCUGAAUUCUGACAAUUUCCUGCAUGGUCACUGCUUAGAUACUAGAUGUUUUAGAUUCAACUUAGACCUUUGGCUAGAGUAGUCAUGUCUUCCCUUCUUAAUUCUUGGUGGCUUCAUCUUUUAGUUUCAAACCUGCAUAUGCCUUUGUGACUUCCAGAAGUAAUUAAAAUUAGACAGUGCUUAUGCCUAGAACCUCAGCCUUCAUCUUGUGUGGAUUCUGAUUCUAGUUCUCUCCUGUUCAGCCCAUCCAGCUCCAUCUGAACCUGAUGGGCCAUCUCUUUCCCUCCCUUCCUCUCUUUCUCUCCCCCCACCUCUCUCCAACCUCUGGUAGACCCUCCUCAACUCCCACCGUCCCCUGUGUGGGCACAGUCCAAGGUGUCACUUCUUCCCAGGGGCCACACGUGUCUUUUCUAUAUUCAUGCAAGAGCCCACACUGACUUGGCUCACACUGACUUGACACCAUCUCUCUCAACCCCUUCUCUGCCUUCCUCGCUCAGCUGGGGCUCCAUGUUCUCUGCCUGCCCUCCACACUCAACUCUAGCACAGUUUCCCAAGCCUGUCGGUCAUGCUCCAUCUGUCCUCCUGGUCUUUGCCCAGAGGUCUCUCCAACUCUCCAAACCAGGUAGUGUUUGCUCCUCAAGGACUGGGCGAGCAUCAGCUCUUUCUGGAAGUCACUGUGCAUCCCUUGCCCUCUCCGUCCUGUGCUUCACGGCUGCUUCUUGUUCAUCCACCUCCUUAUGUUACUUGAUUAACUGAACCAAUAUAUAAAUAAAUGAAUACAUUUGCUACUUUAUCAAUUUGCCAACUUAGAGGCCUAGGAGUUUUUGCUUUACUGAGUAUUCAAGGAUUAUGAAAUUCCCUUGUGGGCUAAAUCUCUCCGGCACACCAGGAAGCAGCGCAUGGAAAGAAAAGGAGACUGGGUGAAGAAUGGAGGUUAGUGAAGGCACAGGGAACGUGGGCACAGGACAAGGGAUGAGGGUCUGUGCCCUGUCCGGGGCUGCCUGGAGGAGGGAGGUGCCUGGGACUGGUGUGAGGAACCGGUCAUUUUAGUGCUGGUCACGAGUUGGUUCUAUCUUCCCUGGACAGGCGGAUUUCUCUGGUGACAGAGGGUAGACCCUACUGCAGUCACAGCUAAUGCAUGCAUUCUCAGUGGUGGGGGAUGGGAGGGGGAGGAUAUCACAAAUACUGUUCUUGGGAGGCAAAAAACCCCAUCUUAGAUAUUGCAGUGGUCUGUGGCCUUCCAAACAGCCUCAAUCCACAGUAUAUCAGUGUAUCUGUGGCAUUAAAAUUUUAUGCAAGGGGGUGAUUAGGACACAAAUGCCUAAUAUGGCUUCUGGGGAGGAGGAUAAGAAGGUUGGGAAAAAUGGGGCUGACAGACAGUUUUCAAGCCAAGGAAGAGACUCUGGCCAGCGUCCUGGAGAAUGGUGACGUUUCUGCACAGCCCAAAGCUGCCCAGCCGAGGGGUGAGUGGGGCUGAGUUCAGCCACUCUGUGGGGUGGCCCUGAGUCUUGUCCACCCACAGGGGGGCUCUCAUAUUUGCACCAGGCAAGCUGUAUACUCCUGGAGGCCCUCGAUCUGGCAGUCCUGCCUGCUCACGCUUGAGCCUGAGCUGGCAGUGUCCGGAGGUUCAGACUAAAAUAAGAACUGCAGGUGCUUCUGGGUGGCUCAGUCGUUGAGCGUCUGCCUUCGGCUCAGGUCAUGAUCCCAGGGUCCUGGGAUCGAGCCCCGCAUCGGGCUCCCUGCUCCGCGGGAAGCCUGCUUCUCCCUCUCCCACUCCCCCUGCUUGCGUUCCCUCUUUCGCUGUGUCUCUCUCUGUCAAAUAAAUAAAUAAAAUCUUAAAAAAAAAAAAAGAAUUGAAUUACUGGCAGGUCAGCUGAGUGGGGAUUUGACUGACAGAGAGCUCGGCGCCAUUGCUAGGGUGAAGCAGGAAUGCGGGUCAUUUUAAGGACAGGUGAGUCCUUCUACAGCCGGAGACAUGUUGGUUCUGCUCCCCAGGUGGAAAGUGCCCCGGAGCAAGGUGGGGGUGUGGGAGUGGAGCAACAGCCCUGGAAACGCCAGCCACCCCUGGGCUUCUGUGAUGUGGGGCUGCUCUAUCAGCUGAAAGUCAAGGCCAGCGCAUGAACCCUUCUAUUACUGGGAACCGGUGAUACUAUCCUAAAUCAAAACCCUUUGGUUUGCCUUUUAGAAUCCUCUCACCCUGCAAGUCCCAAAGGAAACCCAAACAGAGAAAAAGAACUGCAGAAAAAUGGGAAAAUUGCCAGCUUAUUUUUCCUCCUCCUUUCCUUUGACUCGGUUGGGCUGUGGUAAUGGAUACAUAGGUAACGAGUCUGUUUGUAUAUACACUUUUAUUGAUAGACUAUCAAUCAGUAAGUGUCAAACAGACCCUGAAAGACAAGGCAGUGCUGGGUUCACACGGAUAGUUGUCAUUCUGUGUCAUGAAUUACAGGAUGAUGCAAGCGUCGCCGCCCCCCCCUUGAAAUAGGGGGCUGUCUCGGGCUGGUUGGCUCCAGGGGCCAGGGCAGGGCACGGGUGAGGUCAGGGCUGUGGGCUCUGCUCCAUCCCACACCCACAUCAAGCCACGCCAAGGGCUAUCUGGUGACACGUGUGGGUAGGCUGGCACCAGCCCACCUCGCUGACUCGGGAACAUCUCCAACCCUCGGCUGCAAUGCGGGUGGGUCAGGGAGGUAAUUUUCACAUGAGACCGGCAUGCUCCAUACCACAGACUCAUAGAGCUUCUUUGCUGUUUUCUACAAAUGGAAAAGUUAGAUUGUUUAUUUUUCUGUGGGAAGGCUGUUUAGUUCUGCGGGUGAGGAUGAAGACUGUCUCCCCGAGACUCACCAGAUCAGACAUGCUGCCAAGUCUGUUGUUAACAUCUUUUUUUUUCUUUUAAGACUUAUUUAUUUAUUUGAGAGAGAGAGAAUGCGAGUGGGGUGGGGAAGGGCAGUGGGGGAGAAUCUUCAAGCAGACCUCCUGCUGAGCGUGGAUUUCCCCAUGCGGGGCUCGAUUCCCCGCCCCAUGAGAUCAUGACCUGAGUUGGACGCUCAACCGACUGAGCCCGUUGUGAACAUCUUGUGCUCAGUCUGACCAUCGUCUGAUGGGGCCGAGCCAGCAUGGUGGCCAGUGAGGAACUCGGAGUGAGCAGGCCCAGGCAGGCAGAGGGGCAGAGCGUGGCAGGAAGGGAGGAACACGUGGUGUCCAGCUUCCAAAGAGGUGAUGCGGCGGAGCAAGCUGCAGCCGUUGGAACAAUGACAAAGUGGGUUUGUGCUAUCCUCCUCUCCUGCGCGACCCCAUGCGGGCCCCCUCUCCUUCCUUAGCACGGUGGCACGAGAGGUUGCCUGUAAUUUGGAGCUUGGGCAGACAGUCUAGAUCUUUCAGGGAACACAGAUGGGGCAAACUUCCCGGACUGCCAUCACUGCCCCCUCCCCAAUAAAACUACUGGCUGUAAGAUAAAAACAUUUUCAAUUUUAUUAGAUAGUAUGUGCCAACUUGCUCUCCAAAGCUGUCCUUGCCUACUCUUGAUACUUUUACAUCUGAAUUUUUUGCUAGUCUUUUAUGGGUGAAAAGUGCUAUCUCUGCCUUGAUUUGGAGGGUUUUUUUUUUUAAGAUUUUAUUUACUUAUUUGAGAGAGUGAGAGAGAGCACAAAUAGGGGGAGCGGCAGGCAGAGGGAGAAGCAGACUCCCUGCUGAGCAGGGAGCCCGAUGUGAGGCUCGAUCGCAGGACCUUGGCAUCAUGACCUGAGCCGAAGGCAGACAUUAACCCGCUGAGCCACCCAGGCACCCCGAUUUAGACUUUUCUAAUUACCAGUGGAGUUGAGCUUUUUCUCCCAUUGAACUUUUUUCCAAUUAGUGUACUGGCUGUUUGCAUUCCUUCCUCUGAGAACUAUAUAGUCAUCACCUUUGCAUGUUAUUAUUGGGUGUUUGCUGUUUUCUUAUUGAUUUGUAAGUUGUAAAAAAGUAUAUAUUUGGAUACGAAUUCUUAGUUUGUUCUAUGUAGGGCAAAGACUUUCUCCAGUCCGUGACUUCUCUCUUAAUUCUGUUUAUGUCAUCUUUUGAAAAAUUGGAAGUUUUGCAUUUGACAGAGUCAAACAUUCUCCCUUAUCACUCAUGCUUUUGGUGUCACGGUUAAGAGAAACUUACUACACUGAAGUCACAAAUAUAGUCUUAUACUUUUUACUAAUAAUUUUAAGAUAUUUUUCUUCUUUCCCAUUUGGAUCUUUGAUCAAUCUGAUGCUGAUUUGGGGGGUAUGAGUCUAAUUUAACUUUUCUUUUUUUUAUUGAAGUAUAAUUAACAUAGAGUGUUAAUGUCAGGUGUACGGUCCAGUGAUCCAACCAUUCUUUGCAUGACUCAGUGCUCAUCACAAUAAGUGUACUGCUUUAACUUUUCAAUACGAAAAGUCAACUGCCCUAAUACUAUUUAUAGGAUGGCUCAUCAGUUCUCCACCGGUUGGUACUGCCAUCCUAUCAUAUCCCAAGUUACCACAUAUAUACAGGUCAAUUUCUGGGCUCUCUUUGUGAUUCAAUGAAUUUUUUUUUUAUCAAUUCUUUUGAUAAACUUUUAAAAACCAUUUUAUUGAGGUAUAAUUAAUAUACAAUAUGCUGAAUGUAUUUAGUUUUUAAUUUCAUGGGCUCUCUGUAUUUAUAUAUUCUAGUUUUUGUUCAUUGAUUUAAUAUUUAUUUAUUUUUAUUUUAGUAUAGUGAACACAAAAUGUGACAUUAGUUCCAGGUGUAUGACACAGUGAUUCAACAUGUUUAUACAUUACGUCAUGCUCACCACAAGUGUCGAUAGCUACCAUCUGUCCCCAUGCAUUGGUGUUACAAUAUCAUUAACUAUAUCCCCCAUGUUGUGUCUUCUAUUCCUGUGACUUUUUCAUUCCAUAACUGGGAGCCUGUAUCUUCCACUCCAAUUCACCCAUUUUGCCCCUCCCCUCACUCACCUCUCCUCUGGCGACCACUGGUUUGUUCUCCGUAUUUAUAGGUUUUAGCUUCUUGACCUGAAUAUUUAUCUCAUUAAUUUGUGCAUUUUUUUAAAAAUAUGCUUCCUGUUUUAGCUACAUCCAAUAAAUGUUGAUGGGUAGUUCUUUCGUUGUUCAUUCUAAGUACUUGGGAACUUUCAUGUGAGUUUUUCCUUUACCAAGAAUUUUUAAAGAUAUCUGCUCUCUAAUUCCAAGGAUAUUUUUAUUUUUUAAUUAAAAAAUGUAUUGCUUCCAAUUGUAUUGCAUUAUGAUCACAGAACCUGGUUUUCAUGGUACAAAUAUUUUGGAGUGUGUCGAGAAUUGCUUUGUUUUCAUAAAAUAUUAUAUAUUAUCUGUUUACUGGGAUGUAUAUCAAGCUGUUUGAUUGCAUUGCUUGAAUCAUUUGUGCUCUUAUUAUGCUUGAUGUAACAGUUUCUGAUGGCAAUAUGUUUAAAAAAAAACCUCAUUAUGAUUGUGGAUUUGUCAAUUUCUCUUUCUAAUUCUGGUAAUUUUUGGCAUAUAUAUUUGGAGGGAAUUUUUUAUUGUUAUGUUAAUCACCAUACAUUACAUCAUUAGUUUUUGAUGUAGUGUUCCAUGAUUCAUUGUUUGUGCAUAACACCCAGUGCUCCAUGCAGAACGUGUCCUCUUUAAUACCCAUCACCAGGCUAACCCAUCCUCCCACCCCCUCCCCUCUAGAACCCUCAGUUUGUUUUUCAGAUCCAUCGUCUCUCAUGGUUCGUCUCCCCUGAAGGGAAUUUUGUUAGGUGAAGCAAAUUAAUGAUUUUUAUAUCUUAUUCGUUAUUUUUCCCUUUAAUUAUUAAGUAAUGUCUGUAUCUUCAUUAAUAUAUUUUUCUUUAAUUUUAUUUGACUAAAUACUACUAAACUGGCUUUAUUUUCAACUUUUUAUUUUAUUUAUUUAUUUAUUUAUUUUUUAAUAUUAAGAAGGAUUUCUUUUUUUUUUUUAAAGAUUUUUAUUUUUAUUUUUAUUUAUUUGAGAGAGAGAGAAUGAGAGAGAGAGAACACCUGAGAGGGGAUAGGGUCAGAGGACGAAGCAGACUCCCUGCCGAGCAGGAAGCCCGAUGCGGGACUCGAUCCAGGGACUCCAGGAUCAUGACCUGAGCCGAAGGCAGUCGCUUAACCACCUGAGCCACCCAGGCGCCCCGAAUUUCAACUUUUUAAAAAGAUUUUAUUUAUUUGUCAGAGAAAGAGAGUGAGUGAGAGAGCACAAGCAGGGGGAGCAGCAGGCAGAGGGAGAAGCAGGCUCCCCGCUGAGUGAGGAGCCCAACGCAGGACUCAAUCCCAGAACCCUAGGAUCAUGACAAGAACCGAAGGCAGAUGCUCAACUGACUGAGUCACCAAGGUUCCUUCCUUGUUUUUCUUCUAAUGUCCAGGUUCCUGUGGGUUCAAAGCAGGAAGCAUGAGGGAGAGGGAUCUCCAGCAGAAACCCAAGCAUUAUUCUCAGAGAGAACUUUGGGGCUCACUGUCUAGCCAGAGGAAAGCCAUGGGGAACCCUUAUCGUGACAUGGUGUGAUAAGAAGGGUGAUGGAAGUGUGUACUGAGCACUGUGGAAAGGAAGACAUUAAUUUAUAGGGUGGAGAACGUGGAGAGGAAAUGGGGACAGCUUUGCAGAAGAGCAGACAUUUGCACUUGGCCUUGAAGGAUGACUGAAUUCUGAUACCCAAAAACUGACUUCUGGAUAAAAUGUGGUGGAUUGACCUGUGCGUCCUCUGGAAUCCCCAUUCAAACAACCAUAUAGUGAUUUAAAAUUUGUUUUUAAAUUAUAAAUGAUAAAUCGAGGGUAGAGAUAAACGGGAUCUAUUCUGGAGGCCAAAUAACAUCUGAAUGAAUGAGAAUUGACCAAACCGAGCAGGUACACCGGGAAGAGAAGGAGGCAGGGAGGGAGGAGGGGAGGAGGCUCCUGCUCUGGGCUGCAGCCCCCAGAACGGCUCAGUAUCUGGAGCUACAGGAAUCCCUGAAGAUGCAGGUGCAGCUGGGAUGGGAGGACAGGUGGAAGGUCUGCAGGAGAAGUGGUUAGGAUUCCUCCCCAUCCCAUCCCAUUAGGCAACUACUCCUCCUCUGCCCUAGCAAAAGGCCAUAUGGUUACUCCGUGAGGACAUCCCGACUACCCGUGCUCUGGACUCAGGGGCGCCAGGCACAGUUAAGGCUGGAGGCUACAAGGCCUGGGUCAGUUAAGGCAGUUAAGGCUGCUGGAUAGUGAGAUGCCCUAGCACCUUCCCCAGUCCUGUUCAGGAUGCUGGCAGCCACGCUCACAUACCCCAAGCAGAAUAUUAGAGUUCUCUUCUGGGGAAACUGAGCAGCCCAAGAGAAAAGGCCUUCUGAUACUAAUAACCGUGUGUGUCCAGUGAAAACUACAUCCCAACUUCCUUGCCAUGAAGCCCCUUGUCCACAAGUCCUGCCAUGCACACAGAAAUUUCAACCACUUUAUCUGAAAUUUACUCUUUAAAUAUGAAUGAGCAGAUGAAGAUCAUGAGACUUAGGGGAAAGUUUCCAACAUUAAAGACAGCUUCAUAACAAACAAAUGACAAAGACAAAUAGAAAAAGGAAUUUGGAGGAAAUAAAUACUUUGAGAAGCAGUAAAACCUGCCCCCUCCCCUCCUCCCCUGCCCCCAACAGAUAACUUUGAAAAGACUAGAGAAGACACAGGCAGAGGUUCUUGCAGAGGAUAUUCCUUUUCAAAUAAAAGGCAAAGUCUUACUAGGAAAGAUAUCUUUGUCCUUCCCUAUUCUUUUUCUCCUGGAAUGUGGACACAAUACCUGGAGGUAAGAACCGCCAUCUUGUGACGAUGUGGAUGGAUGCCAUAAGCAAGGAUGGUGGAAUAGAAAGGUGGAAAGAGCCUGGUUUCUGAAGACCCUGUUGAGACUCAUGCCUGCCUUAAAAUGUCUGUGUGGACUUCUUUUUAUAUGAAAUAAACUCCUUGCUUGGUUAAGUCACUCUAGAAAGGUUUUCUAUUACUUGCAAAUGAACAUAAUCUUAACCCAUUUAACAAAUGUUGUUAAAAAAUAUAGAAAAGACACAGUUAAAAGAGUUGAAAGUAGGGACACCUGGAUUAAGCAUCUGUCUUCGGCUCAGGUCAUGAUUCCAGGGUCCUGGGAUUGAGUCCUACAUCAGGCUCCUUGCUCAGCGGGGAGUCUGCUUCUCCCUCUGCCUGCCGCUCCCCCUGCUUGUGCUCUCUUUCUCUCUCUGACAAAUAAAUACAUUAAAAAAAAAAAUAAGGAGGGUGCCUGGG